GAGGGACUCGCUGGAGAAGUCCCAGCGAAGGCAGGAGACUGCAGCCAGGAAAAUCCCCACACAGGAGGGUCAGAGAUGUGCAUCUCUACCCAAGAGAGGUGACAGCUGAGGAGCUGGGAGCCUAGAGCAGGGACCCUUGCUGGAUCACAGAGCGGGAAAUAGAAGCGCAGGAGCUCCGAACUGAGAGGGGGCAGCAGGAAAAGGUGUGUGGAUGGUCCACAGAACAAGGGCCAGUGGCAUCUGUGGCCAUGGAGGCGAAUAGUUGGGCUGUGGAGGGGAAGAGCCUGAGACUGUGGUCACGUCAGAUUUCCUGUGGUGAGUGGCAGCCCAUGACUUCUCAGAAAUCAUGGGAUGGAGGGAGGGAGGGUUGGCCAAGGAUGAGCAACGCAACGUGUCAUGAGAUUGUCCAUCUCAUGGGACGGACAAAGCAGAAGGGUCAGUUACCCUUCUGGAGGGAGACCCGGCUGGUGCCUGAGCUCAGAACCCAGCUCCCAGCCCCACAGGGACCAGUUCAGCAUGGUGCUAACUCUCCUUCUGCCUGUGCUGGCCUCUCUCCUUCCCCGGCCGGUGUUCCCUGCAGCUAAACCCCCAGCUCCAGCCUUCUCCGUGCAUCCCCAGAAGGCUGAAUACCUGCUCGGAGACACCGUGGGCCUCACAUGCUCUGCUCCCCCUGCGAGGGAUCAGGUGUCGAUAUUCCAAUACUACAGCAGCAUGGGAUGGGCUGUUUCAGCCAAGGUGUCCUCCGGGCGGGAACACACCUACAACCUCAACAUCACGGAGCCACGGAGUGCGGGUUUGUACAGCUGUAACUAUUACAUAGGCCAGCCUGGUCGUUUCGUCCCGUCCUAUGAGAGCAACCGUAUCAACAUCAGAGUCAAAGACCCUCCUCCAGAGCCAACGCUGAGUGUGGAUCCCCUAUCUGGCGUGGUGAGCGAAGGGCACCCCCUACUCAUCACCUGCACAGCCCCUGGGAACGCCAGACAGCUGAGGUUUCACUUCUACCAGGAUGGAGCCGAGAUCGUCCCUGGGGACAUUGGGUCUGAGAUCCGCACCGCGGAGCCAAGGACCAGCUCUGUGACAGUGUCUGUGCUCAGCAUCCCGCAGGUUGACACCAACAACACUGGGGAAUACACCUGCCGGUAUGAGGAGAAAGAGAGCGGGAGAUGGAUCCUGUCCACCAGGAGCCAGGCUGUGACUGUUACCUUGAAAAGUGAGGCUGCCCUGGAGAAUAAAAUCCACCCCUACAUACAAUCACCACUUCCUACAG
rnacentral:lncRNA from 1 species